CUGGGAUUACAAGCGUGAGCCACCGCGCCCGGCCUGAAGUUUUAUUAUUUUUGAGACAGGGUCUUGCUCUCUUUCCCAGGCUGGAGUGCAGUGGCGCGUUCACGGCUAACCCACAGCCUCUGGGCUCAAGCGAUCUUCCUGCCUCAGCCUCCUGAGUAGCUGGGACUACAGGCAUGCAUCACCACACCUGGCUAAUUUUUAUUUUUAUUUUUGUAGAGGUGGGGUUUCAUCACGUUGCCCAAACUGGUCUCGAACUCUUUCCUGGGCUCAGGUGAUCUGCCCAUCUUGGCCUCCCAAAGUGUUAGGAUUACAGGUGUAAGCCACUGCACCUGGCAAACGUGACUAUUUUAACACCAUUACCCUCAACGUUAUGAUUUAACACGCUGGAGUGCCUGCCUCAGGGUGAGGAGCCCUCUGGCUCUGUCCAGCCAACUUUUGAAUUAAAUUUUUGUGGCCGGGCGUGGUGGCUCACGCCUGUAAUCCCAGCACUUUCGGAGGCCGAGGCGGGCGGAUCAUGAGGUCAGGAGAUUGAGACCAUCCUGGCUAAUACGGUGAAACCCCAUCUCUAGCGUGAGCCACCGCAUCCGGCCGACUUGAACUCUUUGGAAGAGCCAGUUGGUGAGAUGCUAUCAAUCUGGGCCAUAAAGGAAAAGCCAAAAUCUGUUUUUUAAAAUGUUCUACUCUCAAUACAACACAACACCUCUGGUCACCAAAAUGUGUGGAUUUAUCCCCACCAGCAACCCAUCAGUGCUGCAGGGGACGCCAGCUGGAUGUCCUCUAGUUCAAUUCAAUUCGUCUCACACUGUCUACCUGGAGAUACUGUCAGAUCCCACUGAUUAAGGGCUCAGUCCCACAAAACUGUGCCCCUCCUUUAGAAGCCAGUUAUGAGUUCAGGCCUCCAGUACUUCGUUGUUUUUUUUUUUUGUUUUUUUGUUUUUUUGUUUUUUUGUGAGUGGGAGUCUCGCUCUGUUGCCCAAGCUUGAGUGCAGUGGUGUGAUCUUGGCUCACUGCAACCUCCGCCCCCCCCCCCCCCCCCCGGGUUCAAGGGCUUCUCC
rnacentral:lncRNA from 1 species